rnacentral:rRNA from 1 species
AGGAAAUAGAUACCCGGGUAGUCCACGCCCUAAACGAUGUCGACUAGGCGUUCGGUGAGGAGACUCAUUGAGUACCGCAGCUAAACGCGUGAAGUCGACCGCCUGGGGAGUACGGUCGCAAGAUUAAAACUCAAAGGAAUUGACGGGGACCCGCACAAGCGGUGGAUGAUGUGGAUUAAUUCGAUGCAACGCGAAAAACCUUACCUACCCUUGACAUGUACGGAACCCUGCUGAGAGGUGGGGGUGCUCGAAAGAGAGCCGUAACACAGGUGCUGCAUGGCUGUCGUCAGCUCGUGUCGUGAGAUGUUGGGUUAAGUCCCGCAACGAGCGCAACCCUUGUCAUUAGUUGCUACGCAAGAGCACUCUAAUGAGACUGCCGGUGACAAACCGGAGGAAGGUGGGGAUGACGUCAAGUCCUCAUGGCCCUUAUGGGUAGGGCUUCACUCGUCAUACAAUGGUCGGUACAGAGGGUUGCCAAGCCGCGAGGUGGAGCCAAUCCCAGAAAGCCGAUCGUAGUCCGGAUCGCAGUCUGC